GAAUGCAUAGACCAUACUAUUACUAAAAUUUAGUAUUAAGUUUAACUAAAUCGGAAUUUCGGUAUGCACAGGUUGUGAAGUAUUAGUGGGGCUUAUUUUUUAAGUGCAUUCGUGCAGAGAAUAUUUAGUCGCCGAUUGGCCGUACUAAAUUGCUAUUUAGUGCUACUUUUCACAACAUGGAAGCUGUAGGACGCAUUGUGGAUGACGAGUUUGUGGAAUUUGUGCGAUAUGCUAGGGGUGUUCCCUACAAUCCGCCGCCUAGAAAGUAUCUUCGAGAUGGGGAUAAUCCAUUGGAAUGUUUUAGUGAUGAAGAGUUUGUGAAACGUUUUCGUUUCACAAAAGAAACUGUAAUUGGUACCAUCGUGCCCCUUGUUGCGGCUGACAAUGGAGAUAAGCGUGGUUUGCCGGUGCCAGCAAUUGUUAAAGUUACCACUGCACUACGCUUUUAUGGUAGUAACAGUUUUCAGAUUGUUUGUGGUGACCUUAUCCACUUGAAUCAAGCAACAGUAAGCAGAAUUAUCAAGGUAACUUCAAAUGAGCUGGCAGGACAUUUGCUGCAGUAUGCACACUUCCCAGGACCAGGAGGUAUUCGUAGUAACCAGAGGAAGUUCUACGAUUUGGGUGAAUUUCCUGGAGUCACUGGUUGUAUUGACUGCACGCACAUCUGUAUUAGUAAUCCUGGUGGCCAGUUUCCUGAGUUGUACCGUAACAGAAAACAGUACAUGUCCUUGAAUGUUCAGGUUUGUGUAGAUAAUUAUUAUGUUUGUGUCGUAAAAGAGAGGUAAUUUCGAAAACACUUUUUUGGAGCACUAAAGCUGUUCUUAUAUUUUAACCUGAAAAUAGUGUUUAUAAAUUGCUACUGAUUUCUGAAAAAUCACAGUUUAUUGAUUACAUUACAUUACCUUUGCAUUGAUGUGGCCACUCUCAUUUUUUGCUUUCCUAGGUGGGCAAACCUCACGUUCACAACAUCCAUUCCGAGGCCACAUUUGUGCAUGUUCAGCAUAAAUAUUACAAGUUUGUGAUAGUGUGAGAAUGGGAGAUGGGUUAAGUUAGUAACAUUUAAGUUAUUUUAAAAUAUUUCAAUGGGUUGAUAUAAUUAGUAUAGCUACAAUAAAAAUACUGUUAGAUGUUUUUAAUGGUAGCUUUGGAAUUGCCAUGUAGCAUAACAACCAAUUAAUAUCAGUGCAUUCUGUGGCCUAAACAGUUCCUAAAUUCAUUGGAGGUCACGGAAGUUUGCAGUUCGCACAAGCAACUUCAAUAAUUGUACAUACUAUAAAUAAAAACGUGAAUAAAAGAUGUCUAUAUUGUCUAUCAUAUACUUAAAUGACAGAGAAAUUAAUUUUUGAGCUUUGUUUAAAAUAUUAAAAAUAGUGUGGGCUGGUAAUUAGGUUAUGUUAGCUACAUUUAAAAUAGUGAUAAAUUGUGUGUGGUUGGUUAGGUGAGGAUAGCUGUAUCUUAUAUUAGCAAUUCCUUAGCAACUGAUAACAUUAUUUUACAGUAUUUUUUGUGUAGGUUAUUUAACUUAAUAGACCAGUCUCAUGAUUUGACUUGAGUUCUCGAAAUCAUAUACACAGACCCAUGUGGGAAAGAAAAAAUGGCUACAGGUGUGUCAGUGCACACACAUUGUAAUGUGCACUAUAAACUGAAUAUUCGGAAUCUGGUAGGAAUUUAGAAAUUAUAUUUUCAGGAAAAUUACAGGAAUGUUUCAGGUGUUCAAAAAAAUUAUUUAGGAAUUUUAUUAUUAAUGAAUGGAAAAUGCAGCGGUGUGAGAAUUUAACAAAAAAUUGAAUUCAUUACUGUACUUGAGAUGAUAAUUGAGAAUUUAUUUUUAGUAACCUGCUUCUGCAUUCGGUAAAAACCUUAAACAAGUUUAAAAUUAAAUUAAACCGUUAAUCAUAUAGAUUUUUAAAUGGUAACCAUUUUUAGAGAUUCUUUAGUAUUUACUUUUUUUUUGUACAGCCAAACAUUAUAUGAAUUUUAAGUGUUUGGGUAAUUUAACAAAUGUAUGUAUAUACAUUAGGUUGUUGCAGGUCCUAACCUCGAGAUCAUGGACAUUGUAACACGAUGGCCUGGCAGUACCCAUGAUGCCAGGAUAUUUAGUAACAGCAGGGUGAUGGUUAGGUUUGAAAAUCAAGGACUCCCAGGAAUACUUCUAGGAGAUAAUGGGUAUCCACAGUUACCAUUCCUGUACACACCAGUACUGGUUCCAACGACAGCAGCUGAGAUCAGAUACAAUUUAGCUCACAGAAGAACAAGAAACAUUGUGGAACGGUUAUUUGGAGUGUGGAAGAGGCGGUUUGCAUGCCUUGGGCAAAAACUACGAACGAAACUGGCUACUUCAAACAAGGUUAUUCUUGCAUGUGCUGUGCUGCACAACAUUGCGGUUCAGCAUGAAGAGCCUUUGCCACCUCCAGUAGAAGAACUUCGUGUUUUACCCAUAGUGCCAGUUGCAAACUUGCGUCCACGCAACCACCGAGGAGCUGCAAUGAGAGCAAUGUUUAUUGAACGUCAUUUUGUGUGAAUGCAUUACGUAGUUUCCGUGGUUUUCUGUACAUAACUGCUUCAAAUGUAUUUUUUAAUUUUUUUUAAUAGUUUCAGUAGUGAAUUAAUUUUUUUUUAUUUUUCCAGGCACAGUCUAGAACAUGGAAUGUAAUAGGCCUCUUGGGGAAUCUCGCCAUGUAUAUAAAUAUAGGAGAUAACGCAUUGAGCACUAUACCUCCAGAGAGCUUCCUCUAAGGUGAUGUGGAAACUGGUGCAAUGGGUCAAAAAUGUGAGUAAAUGGGUAAGUUUCCUGCAAUGUGUAUGUAAUGAUGUUUAUUUGUUCAGUUUUUUUAUACAAUUGAAAUUUAGUGAAGCUUUUGUUUUCUUUUAACAGGUUUCUGUGUUGUUAAGCGAUUACAUAAAAAAUAUACCUUUUUAAGGUGUCAGUUAGCAGUCUUUAUCCUAACAUUUAUUUAACCACUUUGCAAAUCUUAAGUAUCUAAUAAAACUUUAGCAUUUCAUGAUGUGGGUUAUGUGAGGCCUAUGGGAAUCGGAGAAAUAGUUAAGCCUUAUGUAUAUAAAUGAAAAGUGCAUAUUAUCAAUGAAUUUCAAUGAGUUUUUUUAUUAAUUAUUCAUGCAUAUUAAUGUCGUGAUAGAACAUACCCUAAUUUAACCAGCUGCAUUUCUCAAGCCUCGUAAUUACUGAUUUUAAAAUAAAGUGAUUUGUGUGUUCAUAAUAAUUACCAAGCUAUAUAGAUGCAGAAUAAAUACUUCAACAAGAUUUAUAUUGAAUAAAGUCUCAAUGAUUUUAAUACAAAAGCAUGUGUGUCUUUUUUCCCCUUUUCCUUGUGCCAAUGUAAGUGUAUUGUGUGGUGUAGGGUGAGAUUUGCUUGGAGACAGACUAGACACACUGACACUGCAGGUAACGGAAAGAUUACUGCUAAAAGGUCCACAGUGAUGAGAGUGAUCACAAUGGAGGAGUGUGUCUGACAAUAUAAUUGGCCAGUGUUCAGCCCUUUUGCAGCAAGUUAAAAAUUUUUAGUAUCCUUGAAACCUGGUUUUCUAAAUAAUGAAAGAAAAAUUGACAAUAGUAGAUACCAGAUACUCUUAGAAUUAGUGUAUGUAUAUAGCAGUAAAAUAAGUUCUAAAAAGUUUUAACCAACUAUCUAGAGAUAUAUAAAUAGCUUAUCACCCUGCUUUCAGCACCAUUUAUUGCUGUGUAUGGUAAAGUCGAGUGAGAGACAAGAGAUCUGUUUUUAGAGAUUAGUGGUCAUAAAAGCAUUGGUUAUGCAAAAAACAAUAAAUUGCUAAUGAGUCCUCUUGGAAUGGUCUGUUGCAAUUUUAACAUUUUUGCAGGUAUUACAAAAUGAUGGAAAGUCGAAAUAAUGUCAAAUAUUUACAUUUAUUAUUAGUCUGAUGUUAGAGUUGUAACUAUGUACACUGUUUAAUGUGCUUAAAAAUUAGCCAAACCUUCCUCUUAUUAUAAAUGUUGUAUGCAUACUGUUAUGCCUUUAAUUGUCUAUUUUGCUGUUUAACAUUAAAGUUUCACUGCAGUUUAUAAACGGGACUAAACUAUAGCAGCAGUUAACACAGUAAGUUCUAACACUUAAUUUAAAUAACAUAGCAAUAUAAAACAAACCUAUUGCUAGAUUAGGUUUCAAGAGAAUAUCACAUUGGACCAGUGCAAAACCAGGCAAGGUUCAAAAUGCAUAAACAUCGCUGUAUAAAUAUACAGAGAUAAAUAAAGGAAGAAACAACAUUUUUGAAGCUUAGCAUAAAUGUUUGAUCUUUAACAAUGUGUACAAUAAUAAACAACUAAUUGUCAUUCUAAAAUUUCACAAUAUUUUAUUUUUUUAAGAAGCCAUUAAUUUUAAAAAGAGAAGAUCUUUGGAAAUAAAGUGAAUAAUAACUAAAUUGAAUGUUUUUCUUAUAUAAGCUAUAUUAAUAAUAAAUUAAAUCUAUGCUAAACUGUUCAAUAUAUUAAUAAAAAAAAUUUUCUGAGCAGCUUCUUAGAAGUAGAUGAAUUGGAACAUGCGUAAAUGGUUGGUUAUGUCAGUUGUAUUAAUUAUUUGUAUAAAUCUUGGAAUUUUAGGGAAUUUAUUAGUCAUUAAUGUUGCUUACCUACCCUAAACAGUCUUUUCUCUUAAUUUUUAAUACAUAUAUGUCUCAGAGGGUGCUAAUGUAGUUACAUGAAAAUUUAUAAACAUAUUUGCAAAAAUAUUUAAGACUACAUACAGUAAUUUCCAAGAGUAGGUGCACUUACGGGAGAAACAAAAUUCAAAAAUGGUUAUUUUGAUUACUUAUCUGCAAAAAUGUAUAAAAGUAUUUUAAACCACUUAUUUCCUUGACAUAUCACAAAGUUGUUAGAUAACAUUAUCAAACUAAAUAAGAGAAGAUCAAUAAAAUAAUUUUCAGACUUUUAUUUCAAUAUUUUCAGUUGGAAAUUGAAUCAGUAUUGUCUAUGGUCAAGCAAAACAUACAAUUACAAAUAAAAUACACUGUUCAAUACCUACCAACACUAGUUGUUUUCAAUCACAUUUUCUAAUCAUUAGUUGGAGUACACCACAACACCACAGAUGACCACACUUGUCAAUAUUUUAACGAACCCCCAAAAUUUUAAUAAAUUCAGUUACUGUCUGCUUAUGAAUGUUGUCAUUUGUAAAUGGUCCCAAUAAUUAUAAUUUGGAUUCCUAAUCAUACAUAUGAAAAAUAAAUAACACAUUGCUCAUUUAUGUUGUAUACACCUUCUCUUAGGAACAUUGAAUUUUCAGCUGCAUUUGGUAAUUUUAAAGGAAAGCCUCUUUCCUGAACAAAAAAAAAUCUAAUCAAAAUUCUGAUGUUUUUACUUACAUGUUAUGCAAUUUUUCUCUGUAAGAUACUUCAAAUAUUUUGCAGUAGUUUACAUUUUUAACAAGUAGAUAAGUCAGGUAUAUUUAUUUCAAAUACUGUGUGAUACUAUGAAAAGGGAUGGGUUUGCUACAUCAAAUAGUGGGCAUGGGAUAUAUUAGGUGUGGUAAGUUCAAUUUAAAAUCCUUGAUUAAGUAUUAUGGAUCAUUAGUAUUUAAUUAAGCUAUGCUAGAAACAUUUCAGAUCAUUUAAAUAAUUUCUUAGUUUUACCAAUUUGAAAUGUCUCUUCAUUUAACCCAACACACCAUCCUAACUCUCUAAUAUUUGUAAUGCUACUAACCUAACCAGUCGCUGACACAACUUCAAACAGUAUAUUUUUAUAUGGCUUAACAAACUUAACUGUUUAAACAAUUUCACAGUUAGCUAACAUAAUAACCAACAACUCUCACAAUUUUACACUAUCUAUUAUAUAACUUAAUCUAACCACUCCUUAAAAAGAUUCAAUCUGGAAAAUUGUAAACAAUAUCGCAAUGCCCUCUUAGAUAAUGUUUGGAAAAUAUGUUAGGACAUUAAUAAAAACUGGUUUUUGGAUUUUUUUUCAGCUAAGAGGCUUUCUUUCAAUUUUACCGUGCCAUUUUGCAGAAUUUUACUAAGUGCAAUUUAGAAACCACAGGAAAGAAUAAAUACAAAUAAGGGCAUAAUAUAAAAAUGGUUAUCGACUGUAAUAUGCAAGCAAUUUACAGUGUUUUCCCGUUUCCUGAUUUCAUUAAUUCCAUUCGCAACUUGUGUUCUUCUUCACGAUGAUUCUUUGCCUGCUCGUGAAGCUCUUUUGUAUAUAUUGCAGCAGUUCUUGCUGCCCUCACUCGCAGUUUCUGCUCAAGCAUCAAAAGCUUAUGAUGCUCAAUUUCCCGCUUUUCUGUACUGUUAAGUUUAUGCAGGCGAUGCUGCAGUUCAUCUUCAAUUGCUACUUCACGACGUGUAUUUGACUUAUUGGAGCGUCCAGAAAGGAGAGCAUCCUUCUUUCUCACCUGUGGGCUGUCAACCUCCACCUCAUAAGUAAUUUCUUCUUCAGACAUAGAUUCUGAAAUGGGCAGCUCAUAGUCAUGGUCCAAUGCAAUUACUGCCUGGUACUUAGCAGCAUUUUCAGCACUGUCUGCGGAAACGACCAUGUCAUGAUCGCCACCAUCUACAAUAAAGUGCUGUGUCCCAGCUAAUGCCACUUCCAAUUCGGGGUUCGUGGAGGGCUCCUGGACAAAUGGACCACCACCAGUGGCCAUUCGCUGCCUUGUGUUGGCAGCAAGGAUCUUCUUCCUCUUCAUUUUCUCAUUUUCCCAACAUUUCUUUAGCUGGGAUGCAGUACGCUGCAACAAAAAAAGUAAAAACAAUUGUAGUAAUGCCAUAAGUUCUGAUAACUUUUCCAACAUGCACAGUUUUAUUAUUUCAAUAAUGAUGGAAAAACACAAACUUCUGAAAGCAUAAAAUGUAUAUUUUAUGCAGAAUAUAAUCCAUCUAAAAUA